rnacentral:rRNA from 1 species
UACGUAGGGGGCUAGCGUUGUCCGGAAUCAUUGGGCGUAAAGCGCGCGUAGGCGGCCCGGUAAGUCCGCUGUAAAAGUCAAAGGCUCAACCUUUGAAUGUCAGUGGAUACUGCCGGGCUAGAGUCCGGAAGAGGCGAGUGGAACUCCUGGUGUAGCGGUGAAAUGCGCAGAUAUCAGGAGGAACACCGAUGGCGAAGGCAGGUCUCUGGGCAUUAACUGACGCUGAGGAGCGAAAGCAUGGGGAGCGAACAGG